ACGGAAGGCAGCAGUGGGGAAUAUUGGACAAUGGGGGAAACCCUGAUCCAGCGACGCCGCGUGAGUGAAGAAGUAUUUCGGUAUGUAAAGCUCUAUCAGCAGGGAAGAUGAUGACGGUACCUGACUAAGAAGCCCCGGCUAACUACGUGCCAGCAGCCGCGGUAAUACGUAGGGGGCAAGCGUUAUCCGGAUUUACUGGGUGUAAAGGGAGCGCAGGCGGUCCUGCAAGCCAGAGGUGAAAACCCGGGGCUCAACCCCGUGGAUUGCCUUUGGAACUGUAGGACUCGAGUACUGGAGGGGCAGGCGGAGUUCCUGGUGUAGCGGUGAAAUGCGUAGAUAUCAGGAGGAACACCGGUGGCGAAGGCGGCCUGCUGGACAGAAACUGACGCUGAGGCUCGAAAGCGUGGGGAGCAAACAGGAUUAGAUACCCUGGUA
rnacentral:rRNA from 1 species